UACGUAGGGGGCAAGCGUUGUUCGGAAUUACUGGGCGUAAAGCGCGCGCAGGUGGUCUUUCAAGUCAGUGGUGAAAGCCCGGAGCUCAACUCCGGAAUUGCCAUUGAAACUGUAAGACUUGAGGAUGAGAGAGGUGAGUGGAAUUCCCAGUGUAGAGGUGAAAUUCGUAGAUAUUGGGAAGAACACCGGUGGCGAAGGCGGCUCACUGGCUCAUAUCUGACGCUCAGGCGCGACAGCGUGGGGAGCGAACAGG
rnacentral:rRNA from 1 species